GGGCCGGUGGCUCAGCCUGGUUAGAGCACACGGCUGAUAACCGUGGGGUCGCCGGUUCAAAUCCGGCCCGGCCCA
rnacentral:tRNA from 1 species